AGAACCGUUGAAUGAUCUUCAUCUUCUUCAAUCACACAAAACCCUAGCCUCUUGUGACAUCCCAACAUUUGACGUUUAGGAGAAGGAAAUCUCAGGAACCAGAAAGGGGCGAAGGAAAGAAUUGAAAUCAAGCAAAGCCUUACUCCAAAGAAUUCGAGCUCGAUUUUAGGCUUUUCAGGUAUGGACGUCAACGAUACCGAUUAUGAUGGAUUUAUGGAGCAAGAAAGCGAGAUGGAUUUUUUUAAGGAGUGAAACGAGAUGGGUUUUUGGUAUUUCAAUUGAGCCGCAGAGAUUUAUUUGGGUUUGAAGGAUAGAGAGGCGAAAUAUUGCAAGGCAUGGCAUCCAUUUUCCUUCUCUUAUUUCCUUUUUCUCUCAACUCUCAAGCAUUUGAGAAAAUGGUCUUAAUUAGAUAGAGCAAGUUGGGUUGUUUCUAGAAAAGGGUAAUUUCAUCCUUCACAUAUAAAAUUUGUGUGUUCAAAAGAUGAAGCUUUGCUGCUUUGUUAUCCUUUUGGAUUUAAACGAUAUGGGAUGUGGUUGUUUCUGGAGAGGGUAAUUAAUUUCAUCCUUCUGGUUUUGUAUU